UACGUAGGGGGCUAGCGUUGUCCGGAAUCAUUGGGCGUAAAGCGCGUGUAGGCGGUCCGGUAAGUCCGCUGUGAAAGUCGGGGGCUUAACCCUCGGAUGCCGGUGGAUACUGUCGGGCUUGAGUACGGAAGAGGCGAGUGGAAUUCCUGGUGUAGCGGUGAAAUGCGCAGAUAUCAGGAGGAACACCAAUUGCGAAGGCAGCUCGCUGGGACGUUACUGACGCUGAGACGCGAAAGCGUGGGGAGCAAACAGG
rnacentral:rRNA from 1 species